ACUAACUGGAACCGUGUCCCACGUCAACUGAAGACAGACGUACCAUCACCAUGACAUAGAAAUGUUUAUAGACGGAACUUUUAAAUACGUAGAUACCGACCACGAUGGUGUGAUGGUUAAGGGGGAACUCGCUGCAGUAUUUGACUACUUAGAUGUUGAUCAUGACGGCAAACUUUCCUAUGCUGAAUAUACAAAAUACGACGGAGCAUCUGCUGAAAGCCAACUUACUCACGAUGUUUUCAACCACUUUGAUACUAACAAGGACGGUUUCUUGCAAAGAACUGAAUACGUUGAUACAUUGUUCAGCCAAAUGGACCACAAUGGUGACGGCCAGGUGACCAGACAUGAUUAUGACCAUUUCUUUACCAAUGUGGUUCAUCAUGAGAUGCACCAAGGACACAACGGUCGAUAAUUUUGAUGUUGUCACAUUUUCCUUAUAAAAGAAAGAUUCCU
rnacentral:misc_RNA from 1 species